rnacentral:lncRNA from 1 species
CGCUCACAGGGUAAGGCCUUGUGGACCUGCUAGGCGGAGAUCCUGGGAACCGGUUUCUGCCUGCGCUGGCUGCACUCCCAGCACCUUCCCUGAGAAAGCACCCAGGGGCGCCCCCACGCGGGGCCUGGGCACGGUGGGCGAGGCGGUUGGUCAGAAGGGGACAGCAGUGGAAUAAGUGGCUGGUGAAUAAACAUCGGCACCAGGGCCACUGUGGCUGUCAGAGCCCUGCUGUCCCUCCUGGCUGGGAUGUUUUCGAUACCUAGGAACUUACCUGCAGUUGACCAGGUUGGAGCUGUUGGUCCUGAGAGGCACUUGAGUCAAGUACCCUCCAUUCAGCAGUACCUUACUGUGGGGAUUUGCAGUUCUUCCCUCUGAAAGUUCACAUGGGACACCACAAAGUGAUGAGGUGCUGAUUCUGGGUCAAAGACACAAAAAAGCCUUCUGUGCUGUGGGAUACAGCAGCACAGUUAUCAUCUCAAGCUGCCUACCUGUGCCACAUCCCAGCUAAUGAACCUCUGGGCUCCAUCUUCCACCUUUGUGAAAUGGGACUGAACUCAAGUGCUGCUGCCAGGAUGCAGUGAGUUAAGGCAUGUAAAGUGCUCACGGGAGUGAGCGUGGGAAGUGUUGGCUUUGUCACUAGGGUUGCUCUGGGCAAGGGGGAAGGGAACAAUGUGAACUGG